GGGUGCGAUCAUACCAGCACAUAAUGCACCGGAUCGAAUCAGAACUCCGUAGUAUAGCGUGCUUGGGCGAGAGUAGUACUAGGAUGGGUGACCUCCUGGGAUGUCUUCGUGUCGCACCCC
rnacentral:rRNA from 1 species